rnacentral:rRNA from 1 species
CCGGAUUUAUUGGGUUUAAAGGGUGCGCGGGCGGGGAUUUAGGUCGGCGGUGAAAUUUCGGGGCUCAACCUCGAUAGUGCCGUUGAAACCGUUUCUCUUGAGUGCGGAUGAGGUAGGCGGAAUUUGUGGUGUAGCGGUGAAAUGCGUAGAUAUCACAAGGAACACCGAUUGCGGAGGCAGCUUACUAAACCGUUACUGACGCUCAUGCACGAAGGCGUGGGGAUCAAACAGGAUUAGAUACCCUGGUAGUCCACGCAGUAAACGAUGAUUACUUGCUGUUUGCGAUACACGGUAAGCGGCGUAGCGAAAGCGUUAAGUAAUCCACCUGGGGAGUACGUUCGCAAGAAUGAAACUCAAAGGAAUUGACGGGGGCCCGCACAAGCGGAGGAACAUGUGGUUUAAUUCGAUGAUACGCGAGGAACCUUACC